rfam:Brachypodium distachyon strain Bd21 chromosome 4, whole genome shotgun sequence.
UACAUACUCUCUCCGAUCCAUAUUAAUUGUCGAAAUAUUACAUGUAUCUAGACACUUUUUAGGCAUAAAUACAUUCAUAUUUAGGCAAAUUUGAGACAAUUAAUAUGGAUCGGAGGGAGUACUAA